GUCUCGCGAGAAGGCGACAUCUCUCGCGUUACUUCCUUGUUUCCAGAAUCCUUAGCGCGAAGUGGGAAAACACUUGCUUAGCUCAGCUUUUUAUGAUCACUGCGGUUUCUUCAGUGGCUUCCCUGUUGGUUCUCCGUGACAAAUGGCGGCUUCGGAACAGCCGCUGCCGUUGUCGAGAGGAUGUCAGAGCUCUGCUUCGCUUUCACCGCCGCGGGGCGACCGAACCCUUCUAGUGAGGCACCUGCCAGCCGAGCUGACUGCUGAGGAGAAAGAGGACUUACUGAAGUAUUUCGGGGCGCAGUCCGUGCGCAUCCUGUCCGAUAAGGGGCGACUGAAACAUACAGCUUUUGCUACUUUCCCUAAUGAAAAAGCAGCUAUAAAGGCAUUGACAAGACUUCAUCAACUGAAGAUUUUAGGUCAUACUUUAGUUGUUGAAUUUGCAAAAGAGCAAGAUCAGGUUCAUUCACCAUGUCCUUCUUCAAGCACUGAAAAAAAGAAAAGGUCUGAUGAUACUGUGGAAGAUGAUAAAGAAAAGAAAGAACUUGAUUGUUUAACUAUAGAAAAUGGAAUUGCACCAAACCAUGGGCUGACUUUUCCUCUAAAUUCAUGCCUCAAGUAUAUGUACCCACCACCUUCAAGCACAAUUCUAGCAAACAUAGUAAAUGCUUUGGCAAGUGUGCCUAAGUUCUACGUACAGGUGCUUCAUCUUAUGAAUAAAAUGAAUUUGCCCACACCUUUUGGACCAAUUACUGCAAGGCCUCCCAUGUAUGAGGACUAUAUGCCACUACAUGCUCCUCUUCCACCUGCAUCUCCUCAGCCACCGGAGGAACCUCCUUUGCCAGAUGAGGAUGAGGAAUUAUCUAGUAAAGAAUCAGAAUAUGAAAGCAGUGAUGAUGAAGACCGUCAAAGAAUGACCAAACUAAUGGAACUAGCAAAUCUUCAGCCCAAAAGACCAAAAACAAUAAAGCAGCACCACGUGAGAAAAAAGAGAAAAAUAAAGGAUAUGUUGAAUAUACCAUCAUCUGCUUCACACGGCAGUUUACAUCCAGUGUUGUUACCUUCGGAUGUAUUUGACCAACCACAACCUGUAGGUAAUAAAAAAAUUGAAUUCCAUAUAUCUACCGACAUGUCAGCUGCAUUUAAGAAAGAUUUAGAAAAAGAACAAAAUUGUGAAGAACAAAAUUUUGACUUACCUGCUUCUGAAGUUGAUGCAUCCAAUAUAGGAUUUGGAAAAAUCUUCCCAAAACCAAAUUUGAGCAUCGCAGAGGAGAUUAAAGAAGACUCUGAUGAAAUGCCAUCAGAAUGUAUUUCUAGAAGGGAGUUGGAAAAGGGCAGAAUUUCUAGAGAAGAAAUGGAAACACUUUCAGUUUUUAGAAGUUAUGAACCUGGUGAACCAAACUGUAGAAUUUAUGUAAAGAAUUUAGCUAAACAAGUUCAAGAAAAGGACCUUAAAUUUAUUUUUGGAAGAUACGUUGACUUUUCGUCAGAAACACAACGCAUAAUGUUUGAUAUACGCUUGAUGAAAGAAGGUCGCAUGAAAGGACAAGCUUUCAUUGGACUUCCAAAUGAAAAAGCAGCAGCAAAAGCAUUAAAGGAAGCUAAUGGAUACAUUCUUUUUGGAAAACCUAUGGUGGUUCAGUUUGCUCGAUCUGCUAGACCAAAACAAGAUUCUAAAGAAGGAAAAAGAAAGUGUUAAAAAUUAGUAAAGAAGCAUUCCUGCGUAAAUACUGCUGUAAUACUGUCAUACAAAGUGUAUCCUUUCUUGUCGUAUCCUUUUUGGGGCAGUGUUUUUUUGAUUUUCCUGCAAAUGUUUUGUCUCUCCCCAACCCAUUGAUCCAGUUUAAGCAGUAAUUUUUUUACAAUGUAUUGAAAUGAAGUAUUUUAAAAAUUACGUGUGUUGAUUGAACAAAUCUUUUAUGUGGUUUUUAGAUUUGUUGCUUAAUUUUCUGUGCUAUCCUUUAGGUUAUGUAGUUUUUCCAGGGAAAGUUAGUGAAUCAGGUCAGCUUUUUACUUGGACAAUGUAUACAUUUGCUUUAACACAAAUUUUAUUCUUGUUUCUUCUAUUUUGUAUUUUCUAAACCUAAUUCAGUAACAUAUAUGUUUUCUUUUUCAUGAUGUAUCUGCUUUAGGUGUUCUAUAUAUAUAAUGUGUUGUAAAAUUUGAUUGGGUUUUUUUUUUCCUAUUAAAAAGUACAUUUGUUAAAAAUUUAAAUAACUAGAUUUCAAUGUAAAUUCCAAAUAAGAGUAGCAGACCUUACAUCUGAGGUUUUAUUAUUGAGAUAGCAAGUAGAAGUAUCUUUUUUCCUCUUUCUUUUUCUAAGCAAAGUAAAACAAAAGGAAUAAGAAAAGAGUAACAGAGAGGAGAAUACAUAAUGUUGACUCAGGGUAGCUCAAUAAGUGGAAAGAAAAAUUCUGGUAGGUAUGUAAGAGGAGACUAGUUGAUAACCAGAACCACCCAAACAGUGGUUCUCAGUUUUAGCUGCAUACUGGAAUGACUUGUGGAACUUUUUCAAAAAAUACUGACUAAAGAAAACUAUAAUAAUAAACUAAAAAAUAUACAGAUGCCUGGGUUUCUCCCCCAGAGUUUUGAUUCAGUGGUCUGGAUUGCAGCAUACAUAUUAGGAUUUUCAGAUUUCCCAAAGUAUUGGUUCUAAUGUGCAACUAAGGUUGAGAACUACUGAGGAUGGAUUUUUACAUAUAAAGAUUCCUGGACUCUGCCCUAGAGCUAAUAAAUCAGAAUCUCUGGAAUUGGGACCAAGAAUCUAAUUUAAAAAGGUCCCUUAGUAGUUCUAAGGACUGACCAGUUUGGAUUCUACUUGUUAGAUUAAAAUGUCAAGGUGGAUCCGAGACACCAACCUAACCAUCUAAACUUUUAUAAGUAGGAAAAUAAAGCACUGAAGGCUUUACAUUUCUUUCUUGCAAAUCCUGCUAUAAAUAGUACUAUGAAACCAAUGAAAAAUUCUGUUAAUCAUUGUCACUCUGAGUACAAAAAGUUAAGAGAUACUGAAAUUGCUGUUACUUUUUUCUAUUGGCACAGUUAAAAUGUUUUAUUUUUUAAUGUUAUAAAUCAAUUUCUGUGUAAGCUGUUUAUUUAGACAAUUAAAAUUUUGUACUGACAUGAUUCACUAAUUUUCUAAAUAUAAAUGUUUUAGCUUUUAGUUAUUUUAAAACUAGUGAACUGUUUUAUAAUCAUGAUUACUUUUAAUGAAUUUCUAUGGUAUUUUAGGUUCCAUUUGAAUUUUUCAUAUAUCUCAAGUGCUUUCCAACUUUGUGGAGACGAAAUUGACCACCUGGACUAUGGAACUAAGUUGAAGAGGAAGGAAAACUUCCUGACUGAUUUCUUGGGGCCAAUAUUACCCUGAUAUCAAAGCCAGACAAAGACACUGCAAGAAAAGAAGACUACAAGCCAAUAUCCCUUAUGUUCAACACUGAUACAAAACUCCUCAACAAAACACUAGCAAACCAAAUUCAGGAGCAUAUUAAAAGGAUUAUACAUCAUGACUAUGAGAGAUCUAUAUUGGAAUGCAACGAUGGUUCGACAUAUGAAAAUCUAUCAAAUCUAAAUGAAGGACAAAGACUACACAAUCAUCUUAAUUGACACAGAAAAGCAUUUGACAUAAUUCAACAUCUUUUCAUGAUAAAAACAUUCAACAAACUGGGAACAGAAGGAAACUAGCUCAAUAUAAUAAUAUCCUUAUAUGAAAAACUCAUAGUGAACAUCAUACUCCAUACUGAAAGGCUGAAAGCAUUUCCUCUAAGAUCAGAAACAACUCAAGGAUGUCCACUUUUGCCACUUCUGUUCAACACAGUGCUGGAAGUUCUAACCAGAGCAAUCAGGCAAGAAAAAAAUAAAAAGCAUUCAAAUUGAAAAAGAAGAAGUAAAAGUAUCUCUGUUCACAGAUAAUAUGAUUUUUUUUCAGCUUUAUUGAGAUAUAAUUGACAAAAUUCUAAGAUAAUGUAUACAACAUGGUGAU